GUUAUCAUUUGUUUUCAGAAUUCUAAUUACACAAGUACAAAUGUUCAGUUUGCCAUGAUCAACUUUUUUCCCAUAGAGCUUCAAAACCCACCUUCUUCAUAGAUUUACAUGGGGGAACAAAGAUUCAUUCAGAUGUUGAGAAGCUAUUUCAAUGAUUAUUACAUAGCUUCAAAUAUGGAGCUUGUAAUAAUUUCACAUGAUGCUAAUGUUAUUUAAUUUCAUAUUUAUUUUGGCAUUCACUUUUACUCAAGUUUACAUAUCAUAACUUUUUCUCACGACUUAAUUUUUUUCCAGACAAUAUAGAUGUCAUUGAGAAACUCAUCAAUUAGUUCAUGCACAUUAUUCACAUCAACAUCAUGUCAUCAUCUCCAUUUCAUCCGUAUAUAUCCGUUGUCGUUCAUCAUCUUUGUGGCUAAAAUCAUUUUUGCAGUUGAUAGAUGACCACUUAAAACUUUGGGGGAAAAAGGUGAAUUUGAACGAACCCAUCUGCUGCAGUCUCCUUUUCUUAACUUACAAGUACUGCAGCAGUUGGAUGUUUGUUUGCAAUAACUAUCUUGACUUUCGAUAGAAUUCCGGUUUACUAGGAUGCUUCUCUUAGAAGAAAAUGCUUCCAGAAAAGAAACAAGAGGGUGGUUCUCUUGGGUCAGGAGGAGAUAGAUUCUUGCAGCUGGCAACAUCUUCAUCAAAACGGAAUUUGUCAAAGCUUCACAAGAGGAAGCAUCAAAUCACUACAGUUACGGAUGGUGAUUUACUGAUAUUGUACAUGAAGUGUCUCUAGGUAGAGAGUAUAUUGACUGAUACGGGAAAACGGCUUUUUUCAACCCAAACUAUUUGCUGGCGGGUUUUUCCAACCCGAACUCAGAUCCCUAGUCUAUUUCAACCAAAACUACAAACUAUUUCAAAUUCCAAACCUCAACUACAUAAUCGUUAGCCGAUUUCAACAUGACCUGUGACAACGUUAUGAAACCGUUAAACCGUGCUGAGUCAGCAACACUAUGGCAUCAGAGCUGUACAAAACGACAUUGUUUAACACAGUUUUGGUUGUCUGCUAGAGAGAAAACGACGUCGUUGAACAUUUUGGGGAAAUUAAAAC